AAAAGCAAUUUCUCCUGACGCAUCUUGUAUUCAAUCAAGGGUAACAGGGAAACUGCAAGUUAUAAGGCUAAAUCACAUCGUGAUAUCCACUAGCCGUA
rnacentral:misc_RNA from 1 species